rnacentral:rRNA from 1 species
AGAGAUGCACUGGGUGUAAAGCGUGCGCAGGCGGUUUUGUAAGACAGAGGUGAAAUCCCCGGGCUCAACUUGGGAACUGCCUUUGUGACUGCAAGGCUGGAGUGCGGCAGAGGGGGAUGGAAUUCCGCGUGUAGCAGUGAAAUGCGUAGAUAUGCGGAGGAACACCGAUGGCGAAGGCAAUCCCCUGGGCCUGCACUGACGCUCAUGCACGAAAGCGUGGGGAGCAAACA